rnacentral:misc_RNA from 1 species
AUACCUGUUCGAGCGUCAUUACACCCCUCAAAUAUAACUAUUUGAUGUUGGGCAAUGCCUAAAGGCAUGCCUCAAAAUCAGCGAUGGUGAUGUUCCACCACAGGCGCACAAAUGUCGCCUAGCUGGCGGGAUAUGAUCAGUCUCAUGAUGAAUUUCUCAAUGUUGACCUCGGAUCAGGUAGGAUUACCCGCUGAACUUAA